UAAGUUGAGUUGAGUUGAGUUGA
rnacentral:siRNA from 1 species